AUGGAUCUGUUUGGAGACAUAGAUGACAUUUCUUCAGAGAGCGAUGGGGACAGUGAACAAACUAUUCCAGGGCAGCCUGCUGAUGAACAUGGAGUGCCUCAGGACCAACAGGAGGAAGAGCCGAUUUCUGAAACCAGAAUAGAAGUAGAAAUCCCCAGUAUCAACUCUCAUUUAGGAAAUGAAUUGUACUUUGUUAAACUACCUAAAUUUCUCAGCAUAGAACCCAAACCUUUCGAUCCUCAGUAUUACGAAGAUGAAUUUGAAGGUGAGAAAGUGCUUGACGAGGAAGAUAGAACCAGGUUAAGAUUAAAGGUAGAAAAUACGAUAAGAUGGAGGAAACGCCGGG